UACGGGGGGGGGCUAGUGUUAUUCAGAAUAAUUGGGCGUAAAGGGUACGUGAGGCUGUCAGAUUGAGCGCAGGCCUAAGCCAUAGGCUUAACCUAUGGACGGUUUUGCAGCUGUUCUGACUUUGAGUUGGAUAGGGAAGAGUGGAAUUUCUAGUGGAGAGAUUAAAUUCAUAGAUAUUAGAAGGAAGGCCGGAGCGAAGGCAACUCUUUAGGUCCAAACUGACGCUAAGGUACGAAAGCGUGGGGAUCAAAAGGGAUUUGAGAAUACCCCGUGUACUCA
rnacentral:rRNA from 1 species